rnacentral:rRNA from 1 species
CGCCCUUAGAGUUUGAUCAUGGCUCAGAUUGAACGCUGGCGGCAGGCUUAACACAUGCAAGUCGAACGGUAUAGGUGCUUGCACCUGACGAGUGGCGGACGGGUGAGUAAUGUAUGGGGAUCUGCCGAAUGGAUUGGGACAACCACUGGAAACGGUGGCUAAUACCGAAUAAUGUUGAGAGACCAAAGUGUUUCGACAUGCCAUUUGAUGAACCCAUAUGGGAUUAGCUAGUAGGCGGGGUAAUGGCCCACCUAGGCGACGAUCUCUAGCUGGUCUGAGAGGAUGACCAGCCACACUGGGACUGAGACACGGCCCAGACUCCUACGGGAGGCAGCAGUGGGGAAUAUUGCACAAUGGGGGAAACCCUGAUGCAGCCAUGCCGCGUGUAUGAAGAAGGCCUUCGGGUUGUAAAGUACUUUCGGUAGUGAGGAAGGUUACUAUUAACAUAGUAAAUUGACGUUAUUACAGAAGAAGCACCGGCUAACUCCGUGCCAGCAGCCGCGGUAAUACGGAGGGUGCGAGCGUUAAUCGGAAUGACUGGGCUU